rnacentral:rRNA from 1 species
AGAACGAACGCUGGCGGCAGGCCUAACACAUGCAAGUCGAACGAGAAGCCACCUUCGGGUGGUGGACAGUGGCAGACGGGUGAGUAACGCGUGGGAACGUGCCUUUCGGUUCGGGAUAACCCAGGGAAACUUGGGCUAAUACCGGAUACGCCCUUCGGGGGAAAGAUUCAUUGCCGAAAGAUCGGCCCGCGUCGGAUUAGCUAGUUGGUGGGGUAAUGGCCUACCAAGGCGACGAUCCGUAGCUGGUCUGAGAGGAUGACCAGCCACACUGGGACUGAGACACGGCCCAGACUCCUACGGGAGGCAGCAGUGGGGAAUAUUGGACAAUGGGCGAAAGUCUGAUCCAGCCAUGCCGCGUGGGUGAAGAAGGCCUUAGGGUUGUAAACCCCUUUCAGCGGGGAAGAUAAUGACGGUACCCGCAGAAGAAGUCCCGGCUAACUCCGUGCCAGCAGCCGCGGUAAUACGGAGGGGACUAGCGUUGUUCGGAAUUACUGGGCGUAGAGCGCACGUACGCGGAUUUGUAAGUCAGGGGUGAAAUCCCGGGGCUCAACCUCGGAACUG